rnacentral:tRNA from 1 species
GCCCUUGUAGCCAAGAGGUUAAGGCAUGGCUCUGCAAAAGCUUGAUCGUAGGUUCAAAUCCUAUCAGGGGCU